GCUGUGGCUUAACGGUGGUACAGCAUCUGCUUCACAUGCAAAAAGGUCCGGUUUCAAUCCCUGGCAUCUCCA